rnacentral:ncRNA from 17 species
UAAAUAUAGACGUUUUCAAGUUCCGGUUUUUUCCUGCAGAAAACCGGAUUAAAAGGGAAUAAGGUGAGAAUCCUCAACAGACGUGCUACUGUAUUUGCUUAGUUUAUCCGUGAACCAUUGUAAUUUAUCGUAUAAGAAGGGGAUAAACGUGACUGCAUAAGUCAGGAGAUCUGCUUGGAAAUACUGCCGGCUA